rnacentral:rRNA from 1 species
GACGAACGCUGGCGGCGUGCUUAACACAUGCAAGUCGAACGGAAAGGCCCUGCUUUUGUUGGGUGCUCGAGUGGCGAACGGGUGAGUAACACGUGAGUAACCUGCCCUUGACUUUGGGAUAACUUCAGGAAACUGGGGCUAAUACCGGAUAGGAGCUCCUGCUGCAUGGUGGGGGUUGGAAAGUUUCGGCGGUUGGGGAUGGACUCGCGGCUUAUCAGCUUGUUGGUGGGGUAGUGGCUUACCAAGGCUUUGACGGGUAGCCGGCCUGAGAGGGUGACCGGCCACAUUGGGACUGAGAUACGGCCCAGACUCCUACGGGAGGCAGCAGUGGGGAAUAUUGCACAAUGGGCGGAAGCCGGAUGCAGCAACGCCGCGUGCGGGAUGACGGCCUUCGGGUUGUAAACCGCUUUCGCCUGUGACGAAGCGUGAGUGACGGUAAUGGGUAAAGAAGCACCGGCUACUACGUG